AGUGAGCGCUGGCGGUAGGCCUAACACAUGCAAGUCGAACGGCAGCACAGUAAGAGCUUGCUCUUACGGGUGGCGAGUGGCGGACGGGUGAGGAAUACAUCGGAAUCUACUUUUUCGUGGGGGAUAACGUAGGGAAACUUACGCUAAUACCGCAUACGACCUACGGGUGAAAGCAGGGGAUCUUCGGACCUUGCGCGAUUGAAUGAGCCGAUGUCGGAUUAGCUAGUUGGCGGGGUAAAGGUCCACCAAGGCGACGAUCCGUAGCUGGUCUGAGAGGAUGAUCAGCCACACUGGAACUGAGACACGGUCCAGACUCCUACGGGAGGCAGCAGUGGGGAAUAUUGGACAAUGGGCGCAAGCCUGAUCCAGCCAUACCGCGUGGGUGAAGAAGGCCUUCGGGUUGUAAAGCCCUUUUGUUGGGAAAGAAAAGCAGCAGGUUAAUACCCCGCUGUUCUGACGGUACCCAAAGAAUAAGCACCGGCUAACUUCGUG
rnacentral:rRNA from 1 species